rnacentral:rRNA from 1 species
GAAUUCACUAGUGAUUCAGGCCUAACACAUGCAAGUCGAGCGGUAGAGAGAAGCUUGCUUCUCUUGAGAGCGGCGGACGGGUGAGUAAUGCCUAGGAAUCUGCCUGGUAGUGGGGGAUAACGUUCGGAAACGGACGCUAAUACCGCAUACGUCCUACGGGAGAAAGCAGGGGACCUUCGGGCCUUGCGCUAUCAGAUGAGCCUAGGUCGGAUUAGCUAGUUGGUGAGGUAAUGGCUCACCAAGGCUACGAUCCGUAACUGGUCUGAGAGGAUGAUCAGUCACACUGGAACUGAGACACGGUCCAGACUCCUACGGGAGGCAGCAGUGGGGAAUAUUGGCCAAUGGGCGAAAGCCU